rnacentral:rRNA from 1 species
GACGAACGCUGGCGGCGUGCUUAACACAUGCAAGUCGAACGGAAAGGCCCUGCUUUUGUGGGGUGUUCGAGUGGCGAACGGGUGAGAAACACGUGAGUAACCUGCCCUUUACUUUGGGACAACUUCAGGAAACUGGGGCUAAUACCGGAUAGGUGCUCCUGCUGCAUGGUGGGGGUCGGAAAGUUUCGGCGGUUGGGGAUGGACUCGCGGCUUAUCAGCUUGUUGGUGGGGGAGUGGCUUACCAAGGCUUUGACGGGUAGCCGGCCUGGGAGGGUGACCGGCCACAUUGGGACUGAGAUACGGCCCAGACUCCUACGGGAGGCAGCAGUGGGGAAUAUUGCACAAUGGGCGGAAGCCUGAUGCAGCAACGCCGCGUGCGGGAUGACGGCCUUCGGGUUGUAAACCGCUUUCGCCUGUGACGAAGCGUGAGUGACGGUAAUGGGUAAAGAAGCACCGGCUAACUACGUG